AACAACUCACCUGCCGAAUGGAUUAGCCCUGAAAAUGGAUGGCGCUAAAGCGGGUAGCCGACACCAUGCCGUCUGUUUAAGUGAUAACAGAUGAGUAGGAGGGCGUGGUGGCCGUAUCGAAGCAUGCUUGCAAAAGCGUGUGGAACGGCCACUAGUGCAGAUCUUGGUGGUAGUAGCAAAUAUUCAAGCGAGAUCCUUGAAGGGCGAAGCGGGGAAGGGUUCCACGCGAACAUUGAUUGGGCGUGGGUGAGUCGUUCCUAAGCCGAGUGGCCAUUGCUAAAUAACGGCGAAAGGGAAGCGGGUUUAAAUUCCCGCACACGGAUGUGGAGGCGGUGACGCUUUACUGAGGCGAAUACGCUGGCGGUGGCGCUGGGCAGAGAUGUCUUUUCUGUUUAACCAUUAUCAAGCAGUGUGGAAUCCGCUUGUCGGGAGAAACACGCUUGGGAGGGAAGAGCGCCGGGCUUUUUCCGGCGUCCAGCUCGCCACCGACGGCCCUUGAAAAUUUGCCUGCUGAAUAAAAUCCACGCCGUGGCGUACCGAUAACCGCAUCAGGUCCCCAAGGUGAACAGCCUCUGUCCA
rnacentral:rRNA from 1 species